rfam:Bacteroidetes bacterium GWF2_33_38 gwf2_scaffold_869, whole genome shotgun sequence.
UUGCGUUGGGUAAGUCUCAUACGACCAGCUCCUGCUGAAUCCCCCCAGGACCGGAAGGUAGCAAGGGUAGGUGGUCGUAGCGGUGCGAUAUGAGUAGCUUGCCCAUUU